ensembl:lncRNA
GGUCCCUCCCAUUGCCUUCCUUGCACUCCCACCAGCCAGCAGCCAGGCUCCGCCAGGAACUCAGAGCAGCACAGAGCAGAAAGACCCACUGCCAGCCCUGACCACGCAGCAGGGGCAGCUGAUUGGAAGAGGAAACGCGUUCUUAAAGGAGAAGUCUUUUGCUGCUUCUCAGGAUCUGGCUUCUGUGUAAAAUGACACACAAAGAAACUCUUGCAACACGUACACAGUGAGGAAUUUCGAUUGGGGAAGUACAGAUAAGUGGAGACAGCUCUGAACCAAGCUGGAAAAGCUGCAGAUCCUCAAGUGCAUGCCAUGAGAUGAGAGCAACAGGCAUGUACUAGGAGCUAGGGGAAGAAACAAAACUAACCACCACCCCUGAGGAGCUGAUGAACUCUGCUUAAACUUUUUAUUUGACGUAGAUAAUCUACAUGAUUUUAACACUUGACUUCUGAGGAGGGAGGGGAAGUGAAUGACUGCCAGCAUAGCGAAUGGACUCCUGUCAGAAAAGGGAGAAUCUGGAGUAACUGACCCUGAAUGGAAAAAAGAAACUGCAGUAUUUGAAAGGGGUGAAUUUAACUCAAAAAUAUCAAAACUCAGAGGAGCCAAAAGCUCUCCUUUUACAUCCUUACUACUGUCAUGCCUCUUAGAUCUAUUUUCAGUACUUCUCAUUCACAUCACAUGAGGAUAUAAAACGGUGGCAACGCACUUUAAUAAUCUUAAAUCUCAGAGGUGUUGAGAGCUGCUGUGAGCCCACAGCUCCACGUCUGAGCAGCAGCAGUGCUUGGUGCAGAGCUGGGAAUGCUCCUCUAUGGACUGCUUCCUGCUGCCAACCUGAAGAACAGUGAUCAGGGAUUACAACUUAUCAGACUGAGACAAACCUGCAUUUGAUUUACCGAGUAAAGCUUUCCAAUGCUUCUCAUCGAGGUCCUUUCAUCUCCUCCUGGCUCACAUACAGCCAAAUGCUGCUGAACCCGAGAGGCCUUUGUCAUCCUGUGCAGAAGAUGGGAAGCAGCACACCAAGGUUGCACAGAAUGCAGUGGUGCUGAGCAGGGCCACUGCGCAGGGGGCAAAUAUUGCCUGACCCAACCUGCACAGCUAGGAAAGAUGAAUAAAACAGGAAAAUAUGGGGCAGUUUACUAAAGGUUUAGUCUAGAGUUUGCCCAAGUAAGGCUGGCAACCUGAAACUGAUGUAAAAAUAGUGCCUUUUUUUUUUUUAAACAAAACCAGAGCCAAUCAAAACCACGUAACAGAUCCACUGAACUUCAGGUUGUUGCUGUGUUGCGUUGCAACAUUUUGAAACUUCCCAGAACAACGCUUUUGUCUGCAGGACGGAGCCAUUUGCGCAAGGCAGAGAUAUGUCCUGCUGCUGGGAGCUCCGUGCACACAGAGCUGCAGAGGUCAGUGCUCCUGGGCAGGCAGGAGCAAGGUGCUACACGUGUGUGCACAUACAGAGCAAAAUGCACGCGCUUAUUUAUUAAAUGGUACCACCAAACCCUUCAGCAAGAGAAAGCUGUGGUUGCAAACAUGUCAAAGCAAGGAAACAGAAAAAGUAGGCAGUGCAGCUCUUCGGGGAAGGGGGUAUGGAAGAUGGGGAGUCUGCAGACUGGAAUUUUCCUGGCUCUGAUGAUUCUAUGGUGGAGACAGGUGAAGCGAAACCUGAGUAGGGUAACUUUAGCCAGAGAGAGUGAGAUAGAAAUAAACAGUAUUAUUCCUGGAAAGAAGGGGUAGUAGCUGUCCCUCUGCCAAAGUGCACUCCAGUCCAGAGCCUAUUAGCGGCGGAUUCCUUCCUGCGCUCCACCUCCCAGUGCCAGGGCAACGGUCCCAGGUUUUGACGUCAAAGCUGCCUUUUGUUUGUUGCACAGACCUUCCCCUUGCAGGCCGAGCAGACUGCAGCGCGGAAGCAGCGAGGCAGAGGGCUCUGCUGUGCCCAGAGCUGCUCUCACCACAAGACUCCAAGGAUGGCCCUCUUCCCGCAGUACCAACUCCAGCCCUUCCAGUGGAAAGAAAAUAGAGUUCAAUAGCAAGAUCUGCCAAGCGAGGACUCUUUCCACACACAUGAGACAAGACUAUAAAUCUGCUUUGGAACCAACAGAUGCCUCCACUGUCAUUCACAAUGGGUUUCACUUCUUUCCUGGAUGAACGUACUGAGGAGCUGAAAUUGGGAAGCAGACCUCCUCCAAAUUGGACUGCAAAUGUAAAACCUCCAGCCUGACCAAAAGCAGCCUGAUGACCCAUAUAAAGUGGAAAUUCAAGUCAAUUUGAGGCACAGAGGGAAAGGAAGGGAUUUUCUUCCUCUCUUGAGUAGGGAAAGCCAAAACUAUCACAGCAGAAAGACCCGUAGACUACUCUUUGGCUAACUGCACCCAUGGAAAAAGCAACAGAAAUAUCCACACCUGUUACGUUCUGG